rnacentral:rRNA from 1 species
AACGAACGCUGGCGGCAUGCCUAACACAUGCAAGUCGAACGAGACCUUCGGGUCUAGUGGCGCACGGGUGCGUAACACGUGGGAAUUUGCCUCGGGGUAUGGAAUAACUCAGGGAAACUUGAGCUAAUACCAUAUAAUGUCUUCGGACCAAAGAUUUAUCGCCCUGAGAUAAGCCCGCGUAGGAUUAGCUAGUUGGUGGGGUAAAGGCUCACCAAGGCGACGAUCCUUAGCUGGUCUGAGAGGAUGAUCAGCCACACUGGGACUGAGACACGGCCCAGACUCCUACGGGAGGCAGCAGUGGGGAAUUUUGGACAAUGGGCGCAAGCCUGAUCCAGCAAUGCCGCGUGCAGGAUGAAGGCCUCGGUGUAACUAGCUUUGUACGGUAACGAAACGGUAGAGC